rnacentral:rRNA from 1 species
CACGCUGUUAUCCCUAAAGUAACUUAUACUUCUAAUCCUUAAAAAAGGAUCAAUAAUCUAUUUAUAAAUAUUUAAUUUUCAAAACAGUUAAUAAUUUAUUAAAGCCGCCCCAGCCCAACAACCUAUCUUUAAUUCUAUUUAAUAUAAAUUUAAAAACUAAAGUUCACUUGUAAAGUUUUAUAGGGUCUUAUCGUCCCUUCAGUUCAUUUAAGCCUUUUCACUUAAAAGUAAAGUUUAAAUUAUACCAGUAAGACAGCUUUCCUUUUGUUCAACCAUUCAUUCCAGCCUCCAAUUAAGAG